rnacentral:rRNA from 1 species
AUCUCUCUCGAACUCACUUUUACUAAGAGCUCUUUCUAGAUUCUAUGGGUGGUGGUGUAUGACCAUUCUUAGUUGGUGAAGCGAUUUGUCUGGUUAAUUUCAUUAACGAACGAGACCUCAGUCUGCUAACUAGCUAUGCCGAGGUACCCCUUCGUGGUCAGCUUCUUAGAGGGACUACGGUCUUUUAGGCUGUGGAAGUUUAAGGCAAUAACAGGUCUGCGAUGUCCUUAGAUGUUCUGG